rnacentral:snoRNA from 1 species
UGGAUUAAUGAUGACCUCUGAUGGCAUAUAGGUUAUUGAUGAUGAAUACAUGUUUGGAACUCUGAGAUGCAA